rnacentral:rRNA from 1 species
CGCGGCCUAUCAGCUUGUUGGUGGGGUAGUGGCUUACCAAGGCUUUGACGGGUAGCCGGCCUGAGAGGGUGACCGGCCACAUUGGGACUGAGAUACGGCCCAGACUCCUACGGGAGGCAGCAGUGGGGAAUAUUGCACAAUGGGCGGAAGCCUGAUGCAGCAACGCCGCGUGCGGGAUGACGGCCUUCGGGUUGUAAACCGCUUUCGCCUGUGACGAAGCGUGAGUGACGGUAAUGGGUAAAGAAGCACCGGCUAACUACGUGCCAGCAGCCGCGGUGAUACGUAGGGUGCGAGCGUUGUCCGGAUUUAUUGGGCGUAAAGGGCUCGUAGGUGGUUGAUCGCGUCGGAAGUGUAAUCUUGGGGCUUAACCCUGAGCGUGCUUCCGAUACGGGUUGACUUGAGGAAGGUAGGGGAGAAUGGAAUUCCUGGUGGAGCGGUGGAAUGCGCAGAUAUCAGGAGGAACACCAGUGGCGAAGGCGGUUCUCUGGGCCUUUCCUGACGCUGAGGAGCGAAAGCGUGGGGGGCGAACAGGCUUAGAUACCCUGGUAGUCCACGCUGUAAACGGUGGGUACUAGGUGUGGGGUCCAUUCCACGGGUUCCGUGCCGUAGCUAACGCUUUAAGUACCCCGCCUGGGGAGUACGG